GCUGUGAUGGCCGAGUGGUUAAGGCGUUGGAUUUGAAAUCCAAUGGGGUUUCACCGCAGGUUCGCCCUGCUCUCAGCG